rnacentral:tRNA from 1 species
GGCCCGUUGGUUUAGGGGUAUGAUUCUCGCUUUGGGUGCGAGAGGUCCCGGGUUCAAAUCCCGGACGGGACCG